rnacentral:lncRNA from 1 species
AGCCACCACUUGAAACUUCUUGGAUUCACAUAUUUCAUUUGAACUUUUAUUACCUAUCAGAUUUCCAUCCCUGUCUUAAUCUUGCAUACCAUAGUCAUAGCUUUCUAGGAUUCUCAGCUAUUACUGACAGGUUUCUGUGUUCCACUUCAUGAUAUAUGAUAAAGCAGGGUGGUAUGCAUGUAUUCCAAUUUGUGUAGUCAGCACUUUUGGCUGCCAUCCCACAGUAUUUUAGCUUCUUUUUGAAUCAUUUAGUUCCUCCAGAUUUAGGUCCUUUUUUUUGGGUCAAAUUUAGGUCCUUUUGCAUUUUAGGUUGUUUCAAUCAAGCUAUCAAAAACAUAU